GGAAUGUUGUCUGGUUCGAAA
rnacentral:miRNA from 1 species